GAACCACUUCGGUGGGGAUUAGUGGCGAACGGGUGAGUAACACGUGGGCAAUCUGCCCUGCACUCUGGGACAAGCCCUGGAAACGGGGUCUAAUACCGGAUACGACCAUCUUGGGCAUCCUUGAUGGUGGAAAGCUCCGGCGGUGCAGGAUGAGCCCGCGGCCUAUCAGCUUGUUGGUGAGGUAAUGGCUCACCAAGGCGACGACGGGUAGCCGGCCUGAGAGGGCGACCGGCCACACUGGGACUGAGACACGGCCCAGACUCCUACGGGAGGCAGCAGUGGGGAAUAUUGCACAAUGGGCGAAAGCCUGAUGCAGCGACGCCGCGUGAGGGAUGACGGCCUUCGGGUUGUAAACCUCUUUCAGCAGGGAAGAAGCGAAAGUGACGGUACCUGCAGAAGAAGCGCCGGCUAACUACGUGCCAGCAGCCGCGGUAAUACGUAGGGCGCAAGCGUUGUCCGGAAUUAUUGGGCGUAAAGAGCUCGUAGGCGGCUUGUCACGUCGGUUGUGAAAGCCCGGGGCUUAACCCCGGGUCUGCAGUCGAUACGGGCAGGCUAGAGUUCGGUAGGGGAGAUCAGAAUUCCUGUUGUAGCGGUGAAAUGCGCAGAUAUCAUGAGGAACACCGGUGG
rnacentral:rRNA from 1 species